rnacentral:rRNA from 1 species
GAUGAACGCUGGCGGCGUGCCUAAUACAUGCAAGUCGAGUGAAUGGAUUAAGAGCUUGCUCUUAUGAAGUUAGCGGCGGACGGGUGAGUAACACGUGGGUAACCUGCCCAUAAGACUGGGAUAACUCCGGGAAACCGGGGCUAAUACCGGAUAACAUUUUGAACCGCAUGGUUCGAAAUUGAAAGGCGGCUUCGGCUGUCACUUAUGGAUGGACCCGCGUCGCAUUAGCUAGUUGGUGAGGUAACGGCUCACCAAGGCAACGGUGCGUAGCCGACCUGAGAGGGUGAUCGGCCACACUGGGACUGAGACACGGCCCAGACUCCUACGGGAGGCAGCAGUAGGGAAUCUUCCGCAAUGGACGAAAGUCUGACGGAGCAACGCCGCGUGAGUGAUGAAGGCUUUCGGGUCGUAAAACUCUGUUGUUAGGGAAGAACAAGUGCUAGUUGAAUAAGCUGGCACCUUGACGGUACCUAACCAGAAAGCCACGGCUAACUACGUGCCAGCAGCCGCCGUAA